UACGAAGGGUGCAAGCGUUACUCGGAAUUACUGGGCGUAAAGCGUGCGUAGGUGGUGAGUUAAGUCUGAUGUGAAAUCCCCGGGCUCAACCUGGGAAUGGCAUUGGAUACUGGCUCGCUAGAGUGCGGUAGAGGGUGGUGGAAUUCCCGGUGUAGCAGUGAAAUGCGUAGAGAUCGGGAGGAACAUCUGAGGAUAAGGCGGCCACCGGGAUCAACACUGACACUGAGGCACGAAAGCGUGGGGAGCAAACAGG
rnacentral:rRNA from 1 species